AAAACAUUAGCCCAGGGCAGGGCAGCGGCCAUUUAAAACGUUGUCACUUGGCUUCACCUGUGAUUAGCCUGCUAUACCAGGAUAAAGUGUCUGCUGUAAGAAAGGUGGAGUCUGUUAUUAAGAAGUUAUUAAGCAAAGGUUUUGACACUACACCAGAAAUAACACAGUAACUUCUUUUAAGGUGGAACGGCCUGCCUUUUUUUUUAUUGAAAUCUAGCAUUAGCUAGCAAGCUAGCAAAUUAGAACGAGAGAAGGAGCAACGACAGUUUGGGUCCUUAACAUUCCUCCACUGCUGCGGACUGAGGACGUCAAAUCUAAUGGGAAAUGUGAACCAUGCUCUUUGACGUCAUAGUCCUGGAUUUGACACACGCACAUGGGGGGACUCCAGACGUCACAGGAAAUGCAUGCAUCUAUGGCCAGGAUAUGAUGCAGACGACAAAAGCCGGCGUAUGCUUCCAGUUCCAAGGCUGGAAGUCCACAUUUGAUCGUAAAUACUGUACUUGUGUCAGAUCAUACUCUGGAGUUCUCUUCUGGAGUUGUCUUUAUAGUAAUGCCAUGUGGAGUGAACUGGGAAUCAGGCAGCGGUUUUUCAAGUCUGUCUGACCCUACUGACCACUUAAACACACACAGCUAUACGCAAUGUAGAAUCACAUGCUGCUUUUUAGAAUGUGGGUAAAGCCAGAGAGCCAGAGUACCCUGUGAAAACCUGAACAGGGAAAACAACAUCAUCAGACCUGAUUGUGGUUUUGUGUAAUGGCCCUAUUCACAUCUGAAUCUUGCACCAUCAAUGUACACAUGUAAACAUCGAAUAGAAAACAGCCAGUGCAAUUUGGCACAGCAACGAACAGGCUGUGUAUUAGGACUCUAUGUUAAUGACAGUUGACAGAUAGUUGAAGGGCAUGGGCUGCUCCCUGUCAGCCCUGUUUUGGACUCAUAAUUAUUUCACCAGUGUCACGUCACUGUCACCUUCGCCUGCUUUACACUGUCACACACACACACAUAGAUCCCACCCAGCCACCCUGCCUGCUGAGCCUUAAGGAGAGAAAGAGAGUGUGUGCCUGUGUGUUUGUGUGUGUCUGGCUGUCACUCGACCUCAGAGUUGGCCGUUUCCCUGCCAAGACAAGCAUCGCUGCCACACGGCAACCUUCGCUCUGCGUGCUCGUCUCCGUGGUAACAAACCAGAACCACAGCCUUGUGGCAGUGUGCUUAUGUGGUGGAUUUUGACUUUCCAACUGGAUACCAAAAUAAUAUUUUGGCAAGAUGUUGUACAACUGGAAACAGAUGUGCUGAGGUCUGCACUGAGAGGAAAUUUGGGAGGAACUUGAGCAGCCUGGCAGUUUUUUUUAAACAAAAUUUGAUCGGCAAUGAAAAGGACUCACAAAUGAAGAAUGAUUUGAAAUAAAAACUGUCAGAACAGCAAAAGUGAGGGAUAUAUUUCUGUCACAGUGAUCUAAAAGGUUAAAGUGAAUACAGUAUGAAUGUAUGGUGAAAUAUGGCUUGUAGUCUGAAGCAUUUGAAGAUAACAAUGGAUAAUAAACACCAGUCUAUUCCCAUUUCCGAUAUCAGUUUAAUGCUUACAACUUUGUGUUUUUGGAAUACUGUGUUAUUAUUUAUUGGAUGUAUCCUAUUUUGUUUGAAAGCGUCAGUGUACAUUUGCCAGCACACUUAAUUUCAGAGGCUGCUUAAUAUUUCAAAUAAGACUUUAAUGUUUAAAAUGUUAAAAAUAAUAUUUUAAAAUAAAAGGUUUUCAUUUU